rnacentral:rRNA from 1 species
GCUUACGGCCAUACCAGCCUGGGUACGCCCGAUCUCGUCUGAUCUCGGAAGCUAAGCAGGGUUGGGCCUGGUUAGUACUUGGAUGGGAGACCGCCUGGGAAUACCAGGUGCUGUAAGCA